rnacentral:rRNA from 1 species
AUGAGUGGCGAACGGGUGAGUAACACGUGGGGAAUCUGCCUAGGAGUGGGGGAUAACAUUCGGAAACGGAUGCUAAUACCGCAUACGUUCUUGAACCGCAUGGUUCUUGAAAGAAAGACGGCUUUGCUGUCGCUUAUAGAUGAUCCCGCGGCGUAUUAGUUAGUUGGUGGGGUAAAGGCCUACCAAGACAAUGAUACGUAGCCGACCUGAGAGGGUGAUCGGCCACACUGGGACUGAGACACGGCCCAGACUCCUACGGGAGGCAGCAGUAGGGAAUCUUCCACAAUGGGUGAAAACCUGAUGGAGCAAUGCCGCGUGGAUGAAGAAGGUCUUCGGAUCGUAAAGUUCUGUUAUUAGAGAAGAACAAGUCAAGGAGUAACUGUCUUGACUUUGACGGUACCUAACCAGAAAGUCACGGCUAACUACGUGCCAGCAGCCGCGGUAAUACGUAGGUGACAAGCGUUGUCCGGAAUUAUUGGGCGUAAAGGGAGCGCAGGCGGUUGGAAUAGUCUGAUGUGAAAGCCCACGGCUUAACCGUGGAAGGUCAUUGGAAACUGUCCAACUUGAAUACAGAAGAGGUAAGUGGAAUUCCAAGUGUAGCGGUGAAAUGCGUAGAUAUAUGGAAGAACACCAGUGGCGAAGGCGACAUUCUGGUCUGUUACUGACACUGAGGCUCGAAAGCGUGGGGAGCAAACAGGAUUAGAUACCCUGGUAGUCCGUGCCGUAAACGAUGAGUGCUAGGUGUCGGGGGUCAAACCUCGGUGCCGGAGCUAACGCAU